UACGUAGGUGGCAAGCGUUGUCCGGAAUUAUUGGGCGUAAAGCGCGCGCAGGCGGUCGUCCAAGUCGCGUGUGAAAGCCCCCGGCUCAACUGGGGAGGGUCACGCGAUACUGAUCGACUCGAAGGCAGGAGAGGGUAGUGGAAUUCCCGGUGUAGUGGUGAAAUGCGUAGAUAUCGGGAGGAACACCAGUGGCGAAGGCGACUACCUGGCCUGUUCUUGACGCUGAGGCGCGAAAGCUAGGGGAGCAAACGGG
rnacentral:rRNA from 1 species